AACCCCCCGAGUGGUAGGGAUGAUUAUUUGGCUUAAAGCGUUCGUAGCCGGCUUGGAAAGUCUUCCAUUAAAUCCAGCGUUCAAGCGUUGGGCUGUGGAAGAAACUUUCAAGCUAGGAGGCGGAAGAGGUCGACGGUAUUCCUAGGGGAGGGGUGAAAUCCUAUAAUCCUAGGAGGACCACCAGUGGCGAAGGCGGUCGACCAGUACGCGCUCGACGGUGAGGGACGAAAGCUGGGGGAGCGAACCGGAUUAGAUACCCGAGUAGUCC
rnacentral:rRNA from 1 species